AAAUUGAAGAGUUUGAUCAUGGCUCAGAUUGAACGCUGGCGGCAGGCCUAACACAUGCAAGUCGAACGGUAACAGGAAGCAGCUUGCUGCUUCGCUGACGAGUGGCGGACGGGUGAGUAAUGUCUGGGAAACUGCCUGAUGGAGGGGGAUAACUACUGGAAACGGUAGCUAAUACCGCAUAAUGUCGCAAGACCAAAGAGGGGGACCUUCGGGCCUCUUGCCAUCGGAUGUGCCCAGGUGGGAUUAGCUUGUUGGUGGGGUAACGGCUCACC
rnacentral:rRNA from 1 species